AUUCAACGCUGGCGGCAGGCCUAACACAUGCAAGUCGUACGAGUGGCGGACGGGUGAGUAAUGUCUGGGCAACUGCCCGAUGGCGGGGGAUAACUCCUGGAAACGGUAGCUAAUAACGCAUACCCUCGGAUGUGCCCAGAGGGGCUGAGCUAGUCGGUGGGGUAACGGCUCACCUAGGCGACGAUCCCUAGCUGGUCUGAGAGGAUGACCAGCCACACUGGAAAUGAGACACGGUCCAGACGCCUACGGAAGGAAGCAGUGGGGAAUAUUGCACAAUGGGCGCAAGCCUGAUGCAGCCAUGCCGCGUGUAUGAAGAAGGCCUUCGGGUUGUAAAGUACUUGCAGCGAGGAGGCGUUACUCGCAGAAGAAGCACCGGCUAACUCCGUGCCAGCAGCCGCGGUAAUUC
rnacentral:rRNA from 1 species